rnacentral:snRNA from 7 species
AUACUUACCUGGCAGGGGAGAUACCAUGAUCAUGAAGGUGGUUUUCCCAGGGCGAGGCUCACCCAUUUGCACUGUUGGGGUGUGCUGACCCCUGCGAUUUCCCCAAAUGCGGGAAACUCGAUGCAAAUUUGUGGUAGUGGGGGACUGCGUUCGCGCUCUCCCCUG